UGCUAUUACUAACGAUUAUGUGGACAUUGUUUCUGACUAGCAAAAUCUAUUAUUCAGGAAAGGACCUGUUGUAGGACCUGGACCUCUGAAGAUGUCAAAAUUGUCUUGCGCAACAAUCACUUGGGUAACCAUAAAGAUGCUUUAUCCAAUGACAAACGGGUGAAAGCGAGAAACAUGGAAAAAUUAAUCCUGAGCAAAUUUGGUGUAAUGAAAAAGGUUUUUCCAAAGCUUCUGAGCUGCAACCUCAAUUGUGGUUUCUCUAGACCAAGAUGGCACCGAGUAUGGCAGCCUUGUCACGAGCUCCCCCAAGCAACAGUUGCUUUUUGUGUUUGAUUUUACUUUUACCUUAUUUUUUCCACCAGUAACAUUAUGGUUUUUUUGUAUAUGACCACCAAACUUUACUGAACAUAAGAGCUAGACUCUCUCAUCGUUCUCUGGAGUUCAAGUUUGCAGACCCCCCCAUUCAUCUUGCCUUUGUGCUGGGCCCCUGGAGGCCGCAAACGCAGAAGCAGAAGAUCUGGUGUUCUCGUUCAACUGAUACGGCGCAGUCUCUGGGGAACAAGCUGUGUGAACUUCGGGCAUGGAUCUCAUUCCAGUAAGAGAUGUGGCACUGCUGCGUGAUGUGCCUCACAGAAACCUGGCUAUUCCACAAGGUACCGGACUCUGCCAUACAACUACCAGGGUUCUCUGUGCACUGCACAGACAGGUCACAGGCACUAAUUGGGAAAAGCAGAGGCAGUGGUAUAUGUUUCAUGCUCAACAACAGCUUGUGUGAUUAUGCGAACGUGCACCCGUACCUGAAGUGCCGGCCAUUCUGGCUACCGAGGGAUUUUACAGCAAUGAUCAUUACGGCUGUUUACAUUCCCCCACAAGCUGACACCGACCGAGUACUCAGGGAACUACAGCGCGAUCAGCAGUCAGAGAACCGCACACCCAAAGGCGGUUUUAUCACGACCGGUCCACUGUUGGUCCGACCAAUCAGAGUUCUUGCUGCAGGACUGUUUUGAUGGCUGCUGACGACAUUGAUGAGUACACAGACUCAGUCUGCGGAUUUAUAAAGAAAUGUGUGGAAGAUGUUGUCCCAUCCAGAACAGUUAAGGUUUACCCAAAUCAAAAACUGUUGAUUAACAGCAAUGUUCACACGGCACUGGCGGCACGGAACGCUGCUUUUGCCUCCGUGAACACAUCGGACUACAAACACGCACAUUGCCAAGUCAGUAAGACAAUUAAAACAGUGAAAUAUAAGUACAAGGACAGAGUGGAAUAACAAUUUGACAAUCCUCUGAGUAUGUGGCAGGGACUAAACACAAUCACAGACUUUAGAGGGAAAAUCAGCAGACCGCAGUCCAUGGCCUCUCUCUGUGAGGAUCUAAACGUAUUCUACGCUAGAUUCGACCCAGGAAACACAGCAAGACUGGACAGGGUACGCAUUGGGUAUGACAUCAGCGUGCACACUGUGUCUGUGGAGGAUGUGCGGAGGUGUUUCAGACAGGUGAAUACGCGCAAAGCUAGCAGUCCUCAAGUCUUCCGCGGCUCAGCUGGCUGGAGUGUUUACACACACCUUCAACCUUCCCCUCUCGCUGUCUGUAGUCCCAGCCUCCUUCAAAAUGGCUACCAUCGUCCCUGUACCCAAAUCCUCCACCAUCUCAUCACUGAAUGACUGGCGACUGGUAGCCCUGACCCCCAUCAUGAGCAAAUGCUUCAAGAGGCUGGUCAGGGACUUCAACUUCUCUGCACUACCCAAGUCACUGGACCCUCUGUAGCAUUCCGCUACAACAGGUCCACUGAUGACGCCAUAGCCCUAACACUACAUACUGCCCUCUCGCACCUGGAGAAGAGAGACACGUAUGUGAGAAUGCUGUUUGUAGAUUACAGCUCAGCAUUCAAUACCAUUGUUCCUUCGAAGCUGGACAGGAAACUGCAGAAUCUAUGACUGAGCAGCUCCCUCUGCAGCUGGAUCCUUAACUUCCUCUCUGACAGAUGCCAGUUGGUCAGAUUGGGCAGCAUCACCUCAUCAACUGUAAAAAUGAACACUGGUGCUCCACAGGGGUGUGUACUGAGCCCUCUCCUGUACUCACUCUACACCCAUGACUGCACGGCCACUAGCAACUCCAGCAUCACCGUGAAGUUUGCGGAUGACACAACAGUGGUGGGCCUUAUCACCAAAAGUGACGAGACAGCUUACAGGGAGGAGGUCAGUGCUCUGGCUCAUUGGUGUCAAGAGAACCAUCUCACCCUCAACGUCACGAAGACAAGGGAUUGAUAGUGGACUGGCGGAGGGGUAAAGAAGCACAUACCCCCAUCACCAUCAAUAGCAUUGCUGUGGAGCGAGUGAGCAGCUUCUGUUUCCUAGAUGUACGUCUGGCAGAGGAUCUGUCAGUACACACAAACAAAGCAGUGAAGAAGGCGCACCAGUGCCUCUUCCUCCUCACGAGACUAAAGAGAUUCGGCAUGAGCGCCCACAUCCUCCGGACUUUCUACCACUGUGCCGUUGAGAGCAUUCUCCCUGGAUGCAUCGCUACCUGGUAUGGCAACAGCACCACUUACAACCGCAAAACUGUUCAGAGAGUGGUGCGAUGUUCUGAGCGGAUAACUGGAGGUGAGCGUCUCUCCCUCCAGGGCAUCUACAGGAAGCGGUGCCUGAGGAAAGCGGGGGAGAUCAUCAAAGACUCCAGUCACCUCCGCCAUAAACUAUUUAAACUACUUCCAUCAGACAGGAAGUACUGUAGCAUCUGGUCCUGAACCUGCAGACUGAGCAACAGCUUUUUCCAUCAGGCCACCUGAUGGAACAGUGACACUUCAUAGACACCUCACUCUCACCUACCGGGAAUCCAACACUAUGCACUCCAUUUUGUACCUAUAUGCCAUUUCUUUUGCACAAUAUUCAACAGCUGACUUGGCUAUUUUUGACAUAAAAACAUACAUUUUUUUUUGUGCAUACAUCCUUAAAAUUGUACAUAUAUUUCUCACAACUCUCACAUUCCUGCUCUUAUAAUUGGCUUGUUUCUUACAUUCUUGUAUUUUGCACACCACUGUUGCUUGUGAGGCUUGCACAAAAGAAUCUCACUCACAUGCGCUGUACCAGUGUACUAGAAAUGUGAUGUGACAAUAAAAGUGAUUUGAUUUUGAUUUGACAGGUCAUCAACCCAUUAAAAAUAUUGCGCUAAUGUGUGCAGAUGGCAAUCUCCAAGCCUCACGUUCCCCAGACCUGAACACACUUGAAAAUCUCAGUGACUCUGUCCGUGAUGCCAACAAAUGGUGCACGUCCCUGAGUGCGCCUGUCAGAACACCAACUCCCAUUGCUGAGUACCACAAGCGAGCAACCUCAUCUGUGAGUGGGUUGAAGAGCUGAACGGGUCGGUCAGCCAUUACCUCUGUUCUGGAUUACAGUUAACACGUGGAGGUUACUGCGGGUAUUCAAAAAUGCUCCAAAAGCUUGAAAAAUUAUACAUUCUUGUGAAAACUGGGAAAAACUGGUUGUUUCUGACUGGCAAAAUCUGUCAUUCAGGAAAGGACCCGUUGUCCGUGUCUCCCAAAUGCUUACAGGGCUGUGAUGACAUUAAAGUUGUCUUGUGCAACAAUCAGUGGGGUUACUGUAAAGAUGCUUAGUUGAAAACGGGUGAAAGAAAGAAACAUGAAAAAUUUGUUCUGAGCCAACCUGGUGUAAUGAAAAAGUUUUUUCCAAGGCUUCUGACAGAAACUAGAUGGUAAAACUUUGCAUGUGAUCACAUAUUGAGACAAAUGUUUUUGAACAAUGUUUAUUUAUUUGUUAUCCAAUCUCUCAUUUCAGAUACAGAAAGUCUAGAGCAUGAAGUCAUAAAAGUGGACUUUGUAUGUAGUUGAAUCCCAGAAUUUCACAGGGCAAUAAGAAAGAAAUGGGUGUCCUGAGGACGUGGGCUGCCUCACAUGUCUUUAGGCCAAAUCACCAAUGUCCAACAUGGAGUCCCAGUGUGUCACCUUCAACCACCCAAGCAGGAGUCAGGAGUAAUCCACUGAAUGAACACAGUGAUGUUAUACAGUCAAAGAAUGGUGACCAAAACACAGCAGAAGGAAAAAUUAAACUCAACUCCCAAGAAACCACAGAAGGUGUGUCAAAUGUUCUGUUGACCCACUGAGAGAGGCAUCAUUUAAGAAACCCCACGAAGACUGAAGCUCAUCGCAGGGAUCAAGCAGGACUCAUGAUCUUCACCAGCAGCUCCCUUACAGGGAAAUUUUCAGAGCUCCACCAUAGGCCCACCGCAGAAGAUGGAUAAACCCAGCAUUUCAUGAACACUGUGAUGGAGACCUUUGCUUUUUUAAUUUUAGAUGUACUCAGAUAAUCCUCUACACUACUAGCAAAACCCAGUGUAAAAGAUUUUUAGAAGUUUUUAGUCUAACAUACAAGUGAUGACCUUUGACCUUCAUCAGGUUUUAUUUAAUGCUGUCAGAGAAAAUAUCAUGUCCUCUUCAUGUAGCAGAAGCUGUGCAGGUCUGAGAUCAGCAGCUUUCUGAAACACCAAACUGAGUUAUUGUUAUUAGGCUCCAGUGCAAUCUGUCAGCGUGUGGUAUUUAUAUGGGAGUAACCUGCAGAGCAAUGCUGAGGUUGUGAGUUCGAGCCUCACUUGAGGCAAUGAUGCUUUACAUAAUUUCCUUAGGGAUUGUUAAAGGAUUCUGAUAUGCUCCUAUAUAGUGGCACAGUUACAUGGAUGAUUAAUCUAUUUGUCUUUAAUUUUAUCAAUAAAACAGCUGCAGUUUUCACUGACAGCACAUGUCAUACUUUGACCUUUGUACUGUUUUCAUCUGUUAAUUUUGCAGUCAACAUGUGAACAUGUUGGAUGAUCUGUCUGCUGUCAUUGGGUGCUGCUGAGAUCUGAAUCUGAGGGCAGCUCCUGUAAUUACAAGGAGAAGAGAAUCAUCACAAACCGUGAAAUAUAACGUUUAUCCCUCUAAUCUGAAAUAGAGCUGAUCCUUCCCUGUCCUUAUCAGUUGGUCCUCACACACGUCAGGAUCUGAAGUUCUGCACUUACAUUUUUUUUAGUUCUACAAUUCUGCUGACAGCUGACAUUAGCUGUUUAUUUAAAAAAAAGACAAAGCCAUGUAUAUACUAACAGAUUUUCCAGUAUAAUCUUUACCUUUGAGAGAUGAUGGAGCAGGUUUCCAGGUUCAGUAUGCUGCUGCAUAGUGGUCACCGGCAGGAAAACAGACAAACAUACGGAGGUGUUAUCACCAGUGUUUGAGCUGCUGCAUAUUGGACAACAAAUAAUAUUAAUGCUUCAAAUCAUUCCUCUCAAAGGAUAUAAGCUGUAUGGAGUACUGCACAUGUAACUUUGAAUGAUUCUUAAUGAGGUGUUGUUGCAUUUUUUUUUAACUUGAAUAAAAACCUGAAAGUUU